UCCUGGCUCAGGAUGAACGCUAGCUACAGGCUUAACACAUGCAAGUCGAGGGGAAACGACAUCGAAAGCUUGCUUUUGAUGGGCGUCGACCGGCGCACGGGUGAGUAACGCGUAUCCAACCUGCCCAUCACUUGGGAAUAACCUUGCGAAAGUAAGACUAAUACCCAAUGAUAUCCCACGAAGGCAUCCGAAUGGGAUUAAAGAUUUAUCGGUGAUGGAUGGGGAUGCGUCUGAUUAGCUUGUUGGCGGGGUAACGGCCCACCAAGGCAACGAUCAGUAGGGGUUCUGAGAGGAAGGUCCCCCACAUUGGAACUGAGACACGGUCCAAACUCCUACGGGAGGCAGCAGUGAGGAAUAUUGGUCAAUGGGCGAGAGCCUGAACCAGCCAAGUAGCGUGCAGGAUGACGGCCCUAUGGGUUGUAAACUGCUUUUAUAAGGGAAUAAAGUGGGUCACGUGUGACUUUUUGCAUGUACCUUAUGAAUAAGGACCGGCUAAUUCCGUGCCAGCAGCCGCGGUAAUACGGAAGGUCCGGGCGUUAUCCGGAUUUAUUGGGUUUAAAGGGAGCGUAGGCCGGGGAUUAAGCGUGUUGUGAAAUGUAGAGGCUCAACCUCUGCACUGCAGCGCGAACUGGUCUUCUUGAGUACGCACAACGUGGGCGGAAUUCGUGGUGUAGCGGUGAAAUGCUUAGAUAUCACGAAGAACUCCGAUUGCGAAGGCAGCUCACGGGAGCGCAACUGACGCUGAAGCUCGAAAGUGCGGGUAUCGAACAGGAUUAGAUACCCUGGUAGUCCGCACGGUAAACGAUGGAUGCCCGCUGUUGGCCUGAAUAGGUCAGCGGCCAAGCGAAAGCAUUAAGCAUCCCACCUGGGGAGUACGCCGGCAACGGUGCAACUCAAAUGAAUUGACGG
rnacentral:rRNA from 1 species